UGAGUACCACAGAGUAGUGGAGCCAGAGCCAAGAGUCUCCCCACCUCCAGAUUUCUUAUUGUGGGAGAUACGUUUCUUCAAUGCAAAGUCAGUUGAGUAAGAGUUUUGUCUCUUAUGCAGUUGUUAUUGCUGCUGGACCUGGGUAACAGAAUGUCACAGAACUGGGGAGGAUGUUCUUCUCACUGCAUCAGGUGAAAGAACUGAAUUUGCUGGUAUCUGAAAAGAAGUCAGCUCUAGCUCCAGUUAUAAAAUAACUUGACAACUGUGUCA